GUGUGUGUGUGUGUGUGUGUGUAUUUCUCUCUCUCUCUCUCUACACAUAUAUGCACAUACACACAGAGAGAGAGAGAAAUACACACAAACACAUUU